rnacentral:lncRNA from 1 species
CAAACCAAUUUCAAUUAUCAAUGUCAAUAUCAUCCCUAUAGUCGCGUUUUUACUGCAAAGACUCCAUUUCCAUCAAUUGUACAUAGUUCAAUAAUUCUAAUAAAAGACGGAAAACAAAUAUUAUCAGAAAACAAAUGAAAAACAUAAGAGAGUAUUUAACUUAACAUUGUAGUAACAAAAUGAGAUUCAUAAAAUACAACAUGUACAUCCAUCAUCUCAUUAGCACACAAAAGCAUUAGAAAUUAAGAGAGUAAUUAUUUUUUUUUUACUUGACAAAGUAUGGAAGAUCCAAAACAUAAAGAAGGAAGUAAGCCCAAGUAACACCAGAAAUGCCUCCAAAGAAAAACCCACCAGUGAACUUGGCCCAACCAUCAGCUGUUUGAAGCGGAUCGGGCUGCUUCUUACGGCCCGUUAAGGUCAAUGAUGGUGCGGUCGAUGGAUCGCCUUCGUUGAAGGAAGAAAUCCCGUAGAUUGUUAGGGUAAGGCUAAGGAUAACAACAAGCCCGGCAGCUGCGAGAGAGCCCGCUGAUCCAGCAUAUUCGGUGUUCCUUAGAGGCCCGGCUUUCACGAAUGGGCCUACGAGGAGGAACCCAUGAGCUAAGCCCACUUCGAUGCCACGAAGUAGUGGGUUGACUGCAGUUCUAUAGGCUGGUAGGUUGGAGAGGUACCAUGCCACCAAUGGG